UUUAACAUGAGAGUUUGAUCCUGGCUCAGGAUGAACGCUGGCGGCGUGCUUAACACAUGCAAGUCGAACGAAGCACUUUUACAGAUUUCUUCGGAAUGAAGUUUUAGUGACUGAGUGGCGGACGGGUGAGUAACGCGUGGGUAACCUGCCUCACACAGGGGGAUAACAGUUGGAAACGGCUGCUAAUACCGCAUAAGCGCACAGUACCGC
rnacentral:rRNA from 1 species